rnacentral:rRNA from 1 species
UGGGGAAUAUUGGACAAUGGGCGCAAGCCUGAUCCAGCAAUGCCGCGUGUGUGAAGAAGGUCUUCGGAUUGUAAAGCACUUUCGACGGGGACGAUGAUGACGGUACCCGUAGAAGAAGCCCCGGCUAACUUCGUGCCAGCAGCCGCGGUAAUACGAAGGGGGCUAGCGUUGCUCGGAAUGACUGGGCGUAAAGGGCGCGUAGGCGGCUUGUACAGUCAGAUGUGAAAUUCCCGGGCUUAACCUGGGGGCUGCAUUUGAUACGUGCGGGCUAGAGUGUGAAAGAGGGUCGUGGAAUUCCCAGUGUAGAGGUGAAAUUCGUAGAUAUUGGGAAGAACACCGGUGGCGAAGGCGGCGACCUGGUUCAUGACUGACGCUGAGGCGCGAAAGCGUGGGGAGCAAAC